GAAAAAGUGGUUUUGGAAAAGAAAGGACGGAGGUGACUGGAGGAGCUGAGCUUUACUACGGUGAACAAAACACACCAGUGUGUGGAUCCCACAGCCAGGUGGCUCAAAAGAAGAUUCCAAAAGUUACAAAAAAGAGGAAUGUGUUGCUAUGACCUCUGAAAGGCCUUCAACAGCCAAGAUGAAGUUGACACAUCAUGAUCUUCCAAGCAGAAAUCUUCACAUUUAACAAUUGUUUUGCUUUAUUCUUAAUUUACAACUCCGAUUUUUAGUUUCAAUUUUCAGCUCAAUAUACUUUGUUUUUAAUAAAUAUCAUGAUAUUAA